ensembl:misc_RNA Metazoa_SRP Metazoan signal recognition particle RNA
GCCGGGCGUGGUGGCUCACGCCUGUAAUCCCAGCACUUUGGGAGGCUGAGGCCGGCGGAUUACCUGAGGUCAGGAGUUCAAGAUCAGCCUGGCCAACAUGGUGAAACCCUGUCUCUA